rnacentral:rRNA from 1 species
AGCAUAUCAAUAAGCGGAGGAAAAGAAACCAACAGGGAUUGCCCCAGUAACGGCGAGUGAAGCGGCAACAGCUCAAAUUUGAAAUCUGGCCCCAGGCCCGAGUUGUAAUUUGCAGAGGAUGCUUUUGGCGCGGUGCCUUCCGAGUUCCCUGGAACGGGACGCCAUAGAGGGUGAGAGCCCCGUACGGUUGGACACCAAGCCUCUGUAAAGCUCCUUCGACGAGUCGAGUAGUUUGGGAAUGCUGCUCAAAAUGGGAGGUAUAUUUCUUCUAAAGCUAAAUAUUGGCCAGAGACCGAUAGCGCACAAGUAGAGUGAUCGAAAGAUGAAAAGCACUUUGAAAAGAGGGUUAAACAGCACGUGAAAUUGUUAAAAGGGAAGCGCUUGUGACCAGACUUGCGCCCGGUGAAUCACCCAGCUCUCGCGGCUGGGGCACUUCGCCGGCACAGGCCAGCAUCAGCUCGCCGUCGGGGACAAAAGCUUGGGGAACGUAGCUCUCUUCGGGGAGUGUUAUAGCCCCUUGCAUAAUACCCUUCGGCGGGCUGAGGUACGCGUUCGCAAGGAUGCUGGCGUAAUGGUCAUCAGCGACCCGUCUUGAAACACGGACCAAGGAGUCAACCUUAUGUGCGAGUGUUUGGGUGUCAAACCCCUACGCGUAAUGAAAGUGAACGCAGGUGAGAGCUUCGGCGCAUCAUCGACCGAUCCUGAUGUUCUCGGAUGGAUUUGAGUAAGAGCAUAUAGGGUUGGACCCGAAAGAAGGUGAACUAUGCGUGUAUAGGGUGAAGCCAGAGGAAACUCYGGUGGAGGCUCGCAGCGGUUCUSACGUGCAAAUCGAUCGUCAAAYAUGCGCAUGGGGGCGAAAGACUAAUYGAACCUUCUAGUAGCUGGUUUCCGCGA